UCAUGAGAAUGUGAUUUGUAAUUUCUAAGCUCUCAAAAUAAAGGAUGUUCAAACUACUAUAUUAAAUAAUUUAUUUUAUGCUACUACAACUUGAUGUAUCUAUUGUCUACUAUACUGAAAAGCCAAUAAGGCACCUUUGAUUAUUGGUUAACAACUUUAUAUUAUUCAAAUUAUUUUGAUAGUUCUGAUGGAAGAGGUCUUCAUUGUUUUGAUAGUGGAUAGAUGAAUUAUUUUUGUAGAAUUUGA
rnacentral:lncRNA from 1 species